rnacentral:rRNA from 1 species
CUGCUCAGAGCGAACGCUGGCGGCAGGCCUAACACAUGCAAGUCGAACGGAUCUUCGGGAUUAGUGGCGGACGGGUGAGUAACACGUGGGAACGUGCCCUUUGGUUCGGAACAACUCAGGGAAACUUGAGCUAAUACCGGAUGUGCCCUUCGGGGGAAAGAUUUAUCGCCAUUGGAGCGGCCCGCGUCUGAUUAGCUAGUUGGUGGGGUAAAGGCCCACCAAGGCGACGAUCAGUAGCUGGUCUGAGAGGAUGAUCAGCCACAUUGGGACUGAGACACGGCCCAAACUCCUACGGGAGGCAGCAGUGGGGAAUCUUGCGCAAUGGGCGAAAGCCUGACGCAGCCAUGCCGCGUGAAUGAUGAAGGUCUUAGGAUUGUAAAAUUCUUUCACCGGGGACGAUAAUGACGGUACCCGGAGAAGAAGCCCCGGCUAACUUCGUGCCAGCAGCCGCGGUAAUACGAAGGGGGCUAGCGUUGCUCGGAAUUACUGGGCGUAAAGGGAGCGUAGGCGGACUGUUUAGUCAGAGGUGAAAGCCCAGGGCUCAACCUUGGAAUUGCCUUUGAUACUGGCAGUCUUGAGUACGGAAGAGGUAUGUGGAACUCCGAGUGUAGAGGUGAAAUUCGUAGAUAUUCGGAAGAACACCAGUGGCGAAGGCGACAUACUGGUCCGUUACUGACGCUGAGGCUCGAAAGCGUGGGGAGCAAACAGGAUUAGAUACCCUGGUAGUCCACGCCGUAAACGAUGAGUGCUAGUUGUCGGCAUGCAUGCAUGUCGGUGACGCAGCUAACGCAUUAAGCACUCCGCCUGGGGAGUACGGUCGCAAGAUUAAAACUCAAAGGAAUUGACGGGGGCCCGCACAAGCGGUGGAGCAUGUGGUUUAAUUCGAAGCAACGCGCAGAACCUUACCACCUUUUGACAUGCCUGGACCGCCACAGAGAUGUGGUUUUCCCUUCGGGGACUGGGACACAGGUGCUGC